rnacentral:rRNA from 1 species
GACGAACCGUGCGAACGUUGUUCGGAAUCACUGGGCUUAAAGGGCGCGUAGGUGGGUUGGUAAGUCAGUGGUGAAAUCCCCGAGCUUAACUUGGGAACUGCCAUUGAUACUAUCAGUCUUGAAUAUUGUGGAGGUCAGCGGAAUAUGUCAUGUAGCGGUGAAAUGCUUAGAUAUGACAUAGAACACCAAUUGCGAAGGCAGCUGGCUACACAUAUAUUGACACUGAGGCUCGAAAGCGUGGGGAUCAAACAGG